rnacentral:rRNA from 1 species
GGGCCCGCACAAGCGGUGGAGCAUGUGGUUUAAUUCGAUGAUACGCGAGGAACCUUACCAGGGCUUAAAUGUAAGUUGCAUUAGUUAGAGAUAGCUAUUUCUUCGGACCACUUACAAGGUGCUGCAUGGUUGUCGUCAGCUCGUGCCGUGAGGUGUCAGGUUAAGUCCUAUAACGAGCGCAACCCCUGUUGUUAGUUGCCAGCGAGUCAUGUCGGGAACUCUAACAAGACUGCCGGUGCAAACCGUGAGGAAGGUGGGGAUGACGUCAAAUCAUCACGGCCCUUACGUCCUGGCUACACACGUGCUACAAUGGUCGGUACAGAGAGCAGCCACUACGCGAGUAGGAG